ACCAGCAAUGUCUUAUUUUAUUGGCUGAGACAGUCCCCCUUAUAUUUAUUGUUUUCGUUUAAAUACCGACCGAAAAUUUGAUUUUAUAUCCACUGUCUUGAUCGUAACUUCGGAGACAACUUAAAUAUUCUCUAACUGAAGAUUCAACUGAGUUAUCAUUCAAAAAUGUCAAAGAUACUGUUUGGAAUAAUCGGCAUUUUGGUCGUCAUUGCAAUUAUGCAAGUGACCGUUGAAGCCUGUAAAGUGCAAGGAGAAUCUUGUAGUUAUAAUUCCGAAUGCUGUGGGAGAUACACAUGUAGUUAUUACCAAUGGAGUGAUGAAUCCAUUGGAAGAGUAUGUGAAUACAAAGCUCCAGAUAACUGGUAAUAAAUCAAAUGUUGUUAACAGUAAAAUAAUAAUUUGGUGGUAAAAUUCAUCAGGAGUUGAAGACAUCUAAAAAAAAAUUUGUAUUUCUUGAAAGUUAAUUAUUUGUAA